CUCGAUUCCUCUCCACUCAUAUCUCUUUUUCUUUCUAUCUCCUUCAUGGAGUCGCAGCGCAUGCCUCCAUCUUACCCUCUACAUCCCAAAAUCCACAGAAAUGCGAAAAUAAGUCUGUCGUGGCCAUGGGCGAGAAGUCAUCUGAGGAACAGAAGAAUUUGCUUCGAAUCCAGGAUCAGCUAUUACACUUGUUUCUUCUACCAGCAGCAAGAGCAGAAUUCGCUAUUUAGUAGGAAAAGUUACACUAAAAGGACGAAGAAAUGUUUCGCACAACUGAGAGAAGAACCUACCGGUAUAGCUAGGAAGGGAAGUAUUGCCGGCGCUGUUGCUCUCAUUAUUGGCACCAGUAUUGGGUCAGGGAUACUUGCACUGCCACAGAAGGCUUCCCCCGCAGGACUAGUUCCGAGUUCAAUUUCAAUGAUAAUAUGUUGGGCAUUUCUCUUAAUUGAGGCGCUUGUGCUUGUCGAAGUCAAUGUGGCGCUGCGGAGAAAGAAGAGGAAGAAAGAGGAAGAGAAAGAGUUAGAGGUCAUUUCUAUUAGGACAAUGGCCCAAGAGACGCUAGGAGACUGGGGUGGAACUGUAGCCACCGUGACCUAUCUUUUCUUGGGCUACACUUCCAUUAUUGCUUAUAGUUCCAAGUCUGGAGAGAUCCUUUUCCAUUUGAUCAAUUUUCCGGCCUCGUUUUCAGGCUUCUUCUUCACUGUAAUCUUUACCAUGCUCAUCUCCAUUGGCGGGACUCGUGUCACAGAUCAAGUCAACCAAUGGCUCACAACUUCCAUGAUAGGUCUGCUUCUGGCAAUUGAGGUGCUAGCAGUUAUUUAUGGAGGGUGGUCGGGAUUGGAGGGAAGCGGUAACUGGGGGAAAGUUCCAGAUACGAUUCCUGUCAUUAUUUUUUCUUUAGUUUAUCAUGAUCUAACACCUGUUCUUUGCGCUUAUUUGGGUGGUGACCUUACACGCAUAAGGACUUCAAUUUUGCUUGGUAGUCUUUUUCCGUUGCUGGCAUUGCUUGUAUGGGAUGCAGUUGCACUUGGUCUCUCUGCCCCGGCCGACCAAGUUGUUGACCCCGUGGAAUUGCUCAUGAGGGUAAAAUGGAGCGGGGUAUCGCUUAUGGUUGAGGCUUUCUCCCUCUUUGCGGUCGGAACAUCGCUAAUUGGCACACUACUGGGAUUCUCUGAGUUCUUCAAGGAGCAACUUAAUAACUUUUCAUGGCAGCCUUCUUCAACACCAAAAAUACAGAGACUAAACAAUGUUUUCAAUCUGAGAAAAUGGUGGGGAAGGAAUAAAAUUAGCUUCAUGGCUAUGACAAUGGCUGUUGCUCCAUCUCUUUUUGUGUCAACUACCGUUCCAGAUGCAUUCUCAGCGGCCACUGACAUUGCUGGAGGCUACUGUAUGACGAUGCUUUAUGGAGUUCUUCCACCCGCAAUGGCAUGGAAGAUGCUUAACAGAGAAGCCGAGGAUACUGAAAGCAAAGCAUUUUCAAAAGCAAGGCCAGUACUGCUUGGAGUAGGAUUAUUUGCAUGCGGUAUAGUGGUAGAGCAAAUCCUGCAGGAUAUCAUAUCAUUCCAUUCCUAGCGGCUAUUAUAUUGGCAACAAGAUGCACAACAUACUCUGCCGAAGCAACUCCUGUGUCUUCAGGUGAUGGAUCUUUGCCUCUGUUUCUUGCUCCAGCCUCUUCACAAUGGCAUCUGAAUCCCCAUAGCUCUGCUUGGUGAUACAUUGGUAGAAGGCAUAUCCAGUUAUGAAAAUUCGUCCCCGGAUUGACAAGGUAUACAAUGAUCAUAAAAUACCCACUGUUAAACAUGAAGUUUUCGAUGAAUCAUAUACUUACCUCCACAACCUCAAGUUC